CUACAAGGAGGAUUCAGAACUGCAGGCAG
rnacentral:piRNA from 1 species